rnacentral:rRNA from 1 species
GAUGAACGCUGGCGGCGUGCCUAAUACAUGCAAGUCGAGCGAACAGACGAGGAGCUUGCUCCUCUGACGUUAGCGGCGGACGGGUGAGUAACACGUGGAUAACCUACCUAUAAGACUGGGAUAACUUCGGGAAACCGGAGCUAAUACCGGAUAAUAUAUUGAACCGCAUGGUUCAAUAGUGAAAGACGGUUUUGCUGUCACUUAUAGAUGGAUCCGCGCCGCAUUAGCUAGUUGGUAAGGUAACGGCUUACCAAGGCAACGAUGCGUAGCCGACCUGAGAGGGUUAUCGGCCACACUGGAACUGAGACACGGUCCAGACUCCUACGGGAGGAAGCAGUAGGGAAUCUUCCGCAAUGGGCGAAAGCCUGACGGAGCAACGCCGCGUGAGUGAUGAAGGUCUUCGGAUCGUAAAACUCUGUUAUUAGGGAAGAACAAAUGUGUAAGUAACUAUGCACGUCUUGACGGUACCUAAUCAGAAAGCCACGGCUAACUACGUG